rnacentral:piRNA from 1 species
UGUCCCAAGGACCCAAGUGUUUAGAGGUGU